rnacentral:misc_RNA from 1 species
AUCUGUGCUGGAAACAUGCUUGCUAGGAUGCAACUUGCAAUUCUUCUGCAUCAUCUAUCUGUGGGAUACAAGUGGGAACUACUUAAUCCGGAUGCCAAGAUGAUUUAUUUACCUAAUCCUGCACCGGCUGAUGGAGCUGAGAUCGCAUUCAGCAAAAUUUAGGGAUACAUGUGAUCUCUUUGACUUUGUUGUUAAUUAAAUAAAAUAAUGACUAAUUAAG